rnacentral:rRNA from 1 species
GAAUGCUGACAUAAGUAACGAUAAAGCGGGUGAAAAGCCCGCUCGCCGGAAGACCAAGGGUUCCUGUCCAACGUUAAUCGGGGCAGGGUGAGUCGACCCCUAAGGCGAGGCCGAAAGGCGUAGUCGAUGGGAAACGGGUUAAUAUUCCCGUACUUGGUGUUACUGCGAAGGGGGGACGGAGAAGGCUAUGUUGGCCGGGCGACGGUUGUCCCGGUUUAAGCGUGUAGGUGUGUGUUCCAGGUAAAUCCGGUUCACUUUAACACUGAGGCGUGAUGACGAGGCACUACGGUGCUGAAGCAACAAAUGCCCUGCUUCCAGGAAAAGCCUCUAAGCAUCAGGUAACAUCAAAUCGUACCCCAAACCGACACAGGUGGUCAGGUAGAGAAUACCAAGGCGCUUGAGAGAACUCGGGUGAAGGAACUAGGCAAAAUGGUGCCGUAACUUCGGGAGAAGGCACGCUGACACGUAGGUGAAGUGAUUUACUCAUGGAGCUGAAGUCAGUCGAAGAUACCAG